rnacentral:rRNA from 1 species
AAACUUUCAACAACGGAUCUCUUGGUUCUGGCAUCGAUGAAGAACGCAGCGAAAUGCGAUAAGUAAUGUGAAUUGCAGAAUUCCGUGAAUCAUCGAAUCUUUGAACGCACAUUGCGCCCGCCAGUAUUCUGGCGGGCAUGCCUGUUCGAGCGUCAUUUC